CACUACGGGGUAGCUAGCAGUCGCGUGAAUACAGAGGUGGCCAACGUGAUUGGGAAUGCUAGGGAGUAAAGAGGUUGUAGGUGGCUUGGGAAGUCGUGUGUGAGAUACCGAGGCUGAACCUGGGAAGUGCAAACGAAACUGAUGCGGGUGAGUACUGGAGAGGGUGGGGGAGUGCUCGGGGGAGAGGUGAAAGUCGUCGAUCUCGAGAGGAACGUCGGAGGCGAAGGCGGCUACCUGGACAGUUACUGUCGCUGAGACGCGAAAGCGUGGGGAGCAAACAGGAUUAGAGGCCCCGGUAGUC
rnacentral:rRNA from 1 species